rnacentral:rRNA from 1 species
UACGAAGGGGGCUAGCGUUGUCCGGAAUCACUGGGCGUAAAGGGCGCGUAGGCGGCCGAUCAAGUCGGGGGUGAAAGCCUGUGGCUCAACCACAGAAUUGCCUUCGAUACUGUUUGGCUUGAGACCGGAAGAGGUAAGUGGAACUGCGAGUGUAGAGGUGAAAUUCGUAGAUAUUCGCAAGAACACCAGUGGCGAAGGCGGCUUACUGGUCCGGUUCUGACGCUGAGGCGCGAAAGCGUGGGGAGCAAACAGG